GACGAACGCUGGCGGCGUGCUUAACACAUGCAAGUCGAACGCUGAAGCUCAGCUUUUGUUGGGUGGAUGAGUGGCGAACGGGUGAGUAACACGUGAGUAACCUGCCUCCUUCUUUGGGAUAACGCCCGGAAACGGGUGCUAAUACUGGAUAUUCACUGGUCUUCGCAUGGGGGUUGGUGGAAAGGGUUUUUCUGGUGGGGGAUGGGCUCGCGGCCUAUCAGCUUGGUGGUGGGGUGAUGGCCUACCAAGGCUUUGACGGGUAGCCGGCCUGAGAGGGUGACCGGUCACAUUGGGACUGGGAUACGGCCCAGACUCCUACGGGAGGCAGCAGUGGGGAAUAUUGCACAAUGGGCGCAAGCCUGAUGCAGCGACGCCGCGUGAGGGAUGGAGGCCUUCGGGUUGUGAACCUCUUUCGCUCAUGGUCAAGCCGCAACAAUGGUUGUGGUGAGGGUAGUGGGUAAAGAAGCGCCGGCUAACUACGUG
rnacentral:rRNA from 1 species